CCCUGCCCCCCCUCUGACCCUGCUUCUUGAUUUUGAUCUGUGCUGUACCGCUGUACGAACCCGCUGCUGCUUAUCCCAUCGCUGUCGCGUGCUGUCGAGUUAGCUUCUCAUGCCACUGCUGUAUGAUUUCGUAUGAUGAGUCGAUUAGAGGAGAUGGGCGGAGAAGGAAAUUUUGGGAUGCAUGCCAUGCUAGGAUCUACUAUACAGGAGGUAGGGCGGGAGCUGGUAGUAGGCCGCGUCGGUUCUCAGUCAAGUCCCAAAGGACGCAACAACCCCUGGGAGAGUUUUUUCUUGCAAAUAACUGCGCCAAUAGAUGGGAUUCGCCCGAGACGGUGCUCUGAGGAAGAGUUUAGGCAUAACACCGGAUUAAGAGGCUUGACAAUCGGUCAUGGUUAACCUCACCAUAAAACUUCAGAAGCUAAUCCUACAAAGAUAACGAACUCGAUAAUGCAGGCUGGUCAUGAUUGUACUGAUCACUGAGUUAACUAUGUUUUUAGGAUUGGUUUCUUUUGUUUUAUCUUCUGGGCAAUCGUCGUUGCUAGUGACAUCAGGGUUGAAUAGGUUGACGACAACACACUUGUUACUGAUGAACACAAUGAUUAAAGAGAACCAACCUGCUUCUGUUCAUUUCUGCUACACUGUUUCUACCUGUUUGCGUGUAGAACCAUUCUUGAGCCUGAAUGGUACUACUUUUCUUGUUUUUUGUCUUUUUUGUUCUUAUGAAAAAUCUUUUGUUCAUUUUAUUAUAUACAUGCUAGAGCACACCUCACGAGGAUCACCUUUGAAUCAUGCUAAGUUACGAAGUUGGCAAUACCUUUGAAUCACCUUCGCCCCUCCCGCGUGCUGAACAUGUGCAGGUGGACUUGUUGCUCCAUGUUCUGCAGCUGCAGGCGCAUCUUCAGUUUACUGCCUGUUUUUGCUAAGCAAUGUGCCAAUGGAAGCAUGCAUGGUUUGGCUAUAUGAAGUUCAUCAAAUCAUAAAAGAGUGAAUAGGUGUUGGCUUUAGAGUGCUAGCUUGUAUACUCUAGCAGGCGAAGCACGUACGUGCAAGCUAACUUCAACAAAGCAGACUAGUAGCUUAAUUGAUUCUUUGUUAGCUAGCAGUACUCGGAUGACUAACUGACCGUGUAUUUGUACUAGUAGCUAGCAGUACUCGGACUAGUAGCUAGCAGUACUCGGAUGACUAACUGACUGUGUAUUACAAUUGCUGGGUGCACUUAUGAUACACUUAGUGUGCCACCUCCAGAUGACCAACUGACUGUGUAUUUGUAGUAGCACGUGCCGACGAAGCAGGAACACAGAGUUGCGGAGAGCAGCAGCUCACAAUCGUGGUCAGGGACCGACUGUCCGAGAGUAGACCGUGGAGACGUGGAGUUCAGUCCAGGCAGUUCCUUUCGCGUAGAUUUUGCUGGUUGUGGCAUUGCUUGAAUUUGGGUUAUUGGAUAGCUGGAGCUGCGUAGGAUUUCUUCUAAUUUACUACAGGAGACGAAGACCACGCUUCAUGAAUUCAGGGCACCCCCGAGGUGGUCAUGUGGGAUCCUCUCGAACAACUCGUGCUCGCUGUCGACUUCGAUGGCAGGGUCACCCGCUCCAUCGGCCCCCUCUCCGGCGGGAUGUACUACUCGGAUUUCAUCCCCUACGUCAACUCAUACACAGAGAUCUACAUGUACUACUCGGAUUAAACUCUGUUCUGCUGUACAAUUACACUCGCAAGCUGUCUUACCGUAUUAUUGGAUCUGUUAAUCACUGCCUACAUGUUAGAUCGGUUUGAUUUUGAGAUGCAGCAAGACUUCAAUGUUUCUGAAUUCUGAUGUGAAAGCAUGUCUAUGUCAGUUGAACUUUGCACGACUGUUCCUGUAGAUCGAUGGUGAUAUCAGCAUGCAUCCUAAUUGUCAAUCUCGAGUCUGCACUUCUGUAUGUUUUUGAUGUGAAACACUUAUGCAUGACUAAUUGUUAAGUUGAUACAAUUUCUUUGGUAGACAAGCAUGGAAAUAUGUAUUAACUUUCCAGAAAAUUGAACUUUUCUUAACAAAUCAAGAACUCCCCUCAUUAUGUGAAACACCUAUGCAUAUGACUAAUUCUACACGGCAAUUCUAUUCAAUUCUGAUUUCUUUGGUAGUCAAUUCUGUUCAGUUGUGAAACACCUAUGCAUAUGACUGUGACAGCAUGUCUACAUCAGUACAACUUUGCAUGCAUAUUUUAUUGACUAGAUAUAUACGUGUUGACUGUUCUUCUAUUCCUAUGUACUGCAUAUUGUGUAAUGGAGUUUGCUUGUAUGGUGUUUGUGAAAAUGUUAGUAUGAAAAUAAUUGACAUUGGUUAUAGCGUACAUGGCCAUUAGAAACGCGGAAGGUUACUGUGGCUAUGGUCGCCCACGCUCUGCUUCUCCUGGUCUCUGUGUACCCUGCUUGCAUACUGUCUGUUUGUGAUUUAUUCUAGCAAGUAUCCGUUCAUGAGAAAUAAGCUCUCCAGGAUUCACCGGACCAACAACUAGUUCUAGCAUGUUUAUUUCAAGCAAUUUCUGAUUCAUGCUGUUUGAUGAAUCAGUACCCAUGUCGGGAGACUAGUAGAACUUGCAAACUUUAGUCACUUAUCCUGCUGUUCAUGUCCAUAGUGAUGAGAAUUUAUGGGUAUUGCUAUUUGCCUCUGGUGACAUGUGAGAAGCACUCAUCUACUCCCUCCGUCCAAAAAUACGUGUCGGAGGAAUGGAUGUAUCUAGACAUAUUUUAGUUCUAGGUACAUCCAUUUUUAUGCAUUUCUGCGACAAGUAUUUCCGGACGGAGGGAGUAUAUGUUUAUAUUUUGAGCAGCUGGGUACAACUACAGUUGCAAAAUCAUCCAGCCAAAUUUUGGGAGGAUGGCAUAAAAGAUUACAUAACCCAUGCUUUCGAAAUCAUGGUAUUCUAUUUAUGCUUCAUUCUGAAAUCUAUUGUGCACUGCCAAGUCCAUGAGGCGAAGCGCUCACUGCUCGACUAUUUCUUUACUGAACUGGGAGCAACAAAGGCAAGAUAUUCAAAACAAGCUGAAGUCCUUUUGAUUCUUGAUUUAGCAUACACAUGCAACCUGAUUGGUGAUGUUACUAUAGAUAUGAUGUAGGUUUAAUGCUUACAAUUUUUUUGAUGUGAUGCAUGUCACCUUUCGAAAUAUGAAGAUGCUCUAUCACUGUUGCUGGCAAUCUGGCAUAUCAUAACAGUCUUACCCCUUGUUCUGUCACUAGCAUACACUACAGUUUUAGAUAAAAGGGGGCAUAUCAUUUGCUCUAUAAAAUGGAUUGAUAUUAAUUUAUUUGGACUUGCACACAUUAGGUAAGGAAGGAUCGCCAAUCUGGGUGUCCAAAUGAUAGUAAAACCUAGGCUCUUGCACGGUUCUUGGAUUUAUUUUUAGCAUAUAUUACCCAUAUCGAGACUGAACAUGUCGAUUUUCUUCUCAUCUACAGGAGAGUUAUGUUCUGAUUUUUUUGAAGAAGCUGGAAGUCCAAGACAACGACUUGCUUUACAUGUUUGUUGUAAUGCCGUAUUUUCUGGGAAUUUGGAUAUAAUGUUGAUCUUGCUGAGAAUUUGGUGUAUAUUUGCUUGCUGAACUUAUUAUUCAAAUGCUAGAAUAUAUGUACAAAUCCUUGGAAUUUUAUUGUAUGUAUUUUUGAAAUGUAUUCUUGGAUUUAAAGUGGUCAAAAACAGAAUAUAUUGGUAUUGAA